GCGCAACCCUUAUCCCUAGUUGCCAUCAGGUAAAGCUGGGAACUCUGGGGAGACUGACCGGUGAUAACCGGAGGAAGGCGGGGAUGACGUCAAGUCCUCAUGGCCUUACAUCCCGGGCUACACACGUGCUACAAUGGCAGGUACAGAGGGCUGCGAAGCCGCGAGGUGGAGCGAAUCCCAGAAAACCUGUCUCAGUCCGGAUUGAAGUCUGCAACUCGACUUCAUGAAGGCGGAAUCGCUAGUAACCGCGAAUCAGCAGGUCGCGGUGAAUACGUUCCCGGGCCUU
rnacentral:rRNA from 1 species